rnacentral:rRNA from 1 species
AGUAAUGUAUGGGGAUCUGCCUGAUGGCGGGGGAUAACUACUGGAAACGGUAGCUAAUACCGCAUAAUGUCUGCGGACCAAAGCGGGGGACCUCCGGGCCUCGCGCCAUCAGAUGAACCCAUAUGGGAUUAGCUAGUAGGUGGGGUAACGGCUCACCUAGGCGACGAUCCCUAGCUGGUCUGAGAGGAUGAUCAGCCACACUGGGACUGAGACACGGCCCAG